rnacentral:rRNA from 1 species
AGUGAACGCUGGCGGUAGGCCUAACACAUGCAAGUCGAACGGCAGCACAGUAAGAGCUUGCUCUUACGGGUGGCGAGUGGCGGACGGGUGAGGAAUACAUCGGAAUCUACUUUUUCGUGAGGGAUGACGUAGGGAAACUUACGCUAAUACCGCAUACGGCCUACGGGUGAAAGCAGGGGAUCUUCGGACCUUGCGCGAUUGAAUGAGCCGAUGUCGGAUUAGCUAGUUGGCGGGGUAAAGGCCCACCAAGGCGACGAUCCGUAGCUGGUCUGAGAGGAUGAUCAGCCACAGUGGAACUGAGACACGGUCCAGACUCCUACGGGAGGCAGCAGUGGGGAAUAUUGGACAAUGGGCGAAAGCCUGAUCCAGCCAUACCGCGUGGGUGAAGAAGGCCUUCGGGUUGUAAAGCCAUUUUGUUGGGAAAGACAAGCAGCAGGUUAAUACCCCGCUGUUCUGACGGUACCCAAAGAAUAAGCACCGGCUAACUUCGUG